ncrna:unclassified sequences Cyclic di-GMP-II riboswitch
AGUAAAGGGUGACGCAUUGAUCCACGGGCCCAGUUUGGUCGCCCGGCCCGUGGGGAGCGAAUGGCGAAACCACCGCCCGCAUCA